rnacentral:rRNA from 1 species
GAUGAACGCUGGCGGCGUGCCUAAUACAUGCAAGUCGAGCGAACAGACGAGGAGCUUGCUCCUCUGACGUUAGCGGCGGACGGGUGAGUAACACGUGGAUAACCUACCUAUAAGACUGGGAUAACUUCGGGAAACCGGAGCUAAUACCGGAUAAUAUAUUGAACCGCAUGGUUCAAUAGUGAAAGACGGUUUUGCUGUCACUUAUAGAUGGAUCCGCGCCGCAUUAGCUAGUUGGUAAGGUAACGGCUUACCAAGGCAACGAUGCGUAGCCGACCUGAGAGGGUGAUCGGCCGCACUGGAACUGAGACACGGUCCAGACUCCUACGGGAGGCAGCAGUAGGGAAUCUUCCGCAAUGGGCGGAAGCCUGACGGAGCAACGCCGCGUGAGUGAUGAAGGUCUUCGGAUCGUAAAACUCUGUUAUUAGGGAAGAACAAAUGUGUAAGUAACUAUGCACGUCUUGACGGUACCUAAUCAGAAAGCCACGGCUAACUACGUG